UACAGAGGUGGCAAGCGUUGUUCGGAAUUACUGGGCGUAAAGGGCGCGUAGGCGGCCAUCUAAGUCCGACGUGAAAUCCCCCGGCUUAACCUGGGAACUGCGUCUGAUACUGGACGGCUUGAGUAUGGGAGAGGGAUGUAGAAUUCCAGGUGUAGCGGUGAAAUGCGUAGAUAUCGGGAGGAACACCAGUGGCGAAGGCGGCUACCUGGCACAGAACUGACGCUGAGACGCGAAAGCGUGGGGAGCGAACCGG
rnacentral:rRNA from 1 species